CCGACAUGAAGGUGCUCACGCUGUUGGUCGCCAUCGCAGUCUUGGUGGCGUCUGCAAGAGGACAGAUGUUCGUGGAGAACGGCAGCAAAUGGAUCAGCAACCCCUACCCAGAGAUGCCGCCCAGCUGCUGCAGGAGGUCGGCCGUGGAGGUGUGCAGCCGCACGUCGGCCCAGCUGGGCUGGCCCUUCGACCCCGGCUGCGCGCUCAGCUGCAGCAUGCAGCGCGGCGGCGGCCCUCCGGGGUACUUCGAGUGCCGCGACUCCGUCUGCCUGUGCUACCUCUGAACAGCCCCACAGCCAACUCUGGCUUCCUCUCUUCCUACCGUACUCCAACACCUCAGCACUGAACAAGGUUUGUCUGUACCUUCGGCCGUAACUAGAUACUAGUACACUGGACACGACGUCAUUUUCGUGGCUCAAACAUCUCUCGGCUGAAACCACGUGACUGCUGGCAAGACGUGGUUGUUUCGUGUUGUGCUUACGGGUUUUCAGAAAGCUUCGUUGCCUGUGGCGGCAUUACAUUUCAUGUCAAAGUAUUGAUAUGCCAAUGAAAAUGUCUCUACUAAAAAUUGAAGGGCAAAGACAGCGUUUAGAGCCGCUGAAACGCAAGGACGUUAAGCCAAUUUUCCACUAGCGCAUUUGCGCAAAACACUCUCAGGAAAAAUGUUAUGACAGGCCAAAGGAGGGAGUUGGCUUUGCAGUGAUGCUGUUCCAACGCUUUUCUAUUUUCCUGAGCAUAUUACGAGGAAGAAACAGUGUUAAAUGCUCCUUCUUGUUUGCAUUUCUCUAGCUUUCGCGGACAACAAUAUCAACUGUUUGUUUUCAUUUAUAAUUGACCAGAGAUUUAAAAAAAAUCCGCGCAUACAACGUUUUUAGUUCAGACACGAACUCACUAUUAUUUCUUACAAGAAUUUUAGUUCAUUUGCCAUAAUUGAUAUUUUAUCGAGUAAUUUCGUCUCGAUAACCACUCAAGUGGCGUCUUAUGUAUUUGUUAGGCUUUUAUAACUGCAACAGCAACAGAUGCAGGUCAACUGUAGCUCUGGUUUAAUUUAUCACAGAAGAAAAAAUAAGUUUUUGUAAGAAUUACGCAGCAUUUCAUUAAGAAACUUGGGAAAAAUAGGAUACAAAUAUCGGGAGGCAAAUUCCUGAUCUGAAAUCUCGCCGACAUUUUGCCGAAGUCACGUGGUUUUAUGUCUGAGACACUCCAAGCACAUAACCUCUGUACAUCAAGCCCAGUCUGCUAGUUGUCUAUGGUCGAAGGUCUGUACAUCAGACGUUCUGCUUUCACAGUUUGUACUGUUUGUGCAAAAUUAAUGUAAAGUGCAGUAUUUGACAGUAAAUGUACACUUUGAGAGUUUAUAAUCAAAAA